AUUGAACGCUGGCGGCAGGCCUAACACAUGCAAGUCGAGCGGAUGAAGGGAGCUUGCUCCUGGAUUCAGCGGCGGACGGGUGAGUAAUGCCUAGGAAUCUGCCUGGUAGUGGGGGAUAACGUCCGGAAACGGGCGCUAAUACCGCAUACGUCCUGAGGGAGAAAGUGGGGGAUCUUCGGACCUCACGCUAUCAGAUGAGCCUAGGUCGGAUUAGCUAGUUGGUGGGGUAAAGGCCUACCAAGGCGACGAUCCGUAACUGGUCUGAGGGGAUGAUCAGUCACCCUGGACUGAGACACGGUCCAGACUCCUACGGGAGGCAGCAGUGGGGAAUAUUGGACAAUGGGCGAAAGCCUGAUCCAGCCAUGCCGCGUGUGUGAAGAAGGUCUUCGGAUUGUAAAGCACUUUAAGUUGGGAGGAAGGGCAGUAAGUUAAUACCUUGCUGUUUUGACGUUACCAACAGAAUAAGCACCGGCUAACUUCGUG
rnacentral:rRNA from 1 species